UACGGAGGGUGCGAGCGUUGUCCGGAAUCACUGGGCGUGAAGGGCGCGUAGGCGGCCUGAUAAGUCGGGGGUGAAAUCCUGCGGCUUAACCGCAGGGCUGCCUUCUAAACUGUCAGGCUUGAGCACAGUAGAGGCAGGUGGAAUUCCCGGUGUAGCGGUGGAAUGCGUAGAGAUCGGGAAGAACAUCAGUGGCGAAGGCGGCCUGCUGGGCUGUUGCUGACGCUGAGGCGCGACAGCGUGGGGAGCAAACAGG
rnacentral:rRNA from 1 species